GAAUUUUGCGCAAUGGGGGAAACCCUGACGCAGCAACACCGCGUGAAUGUUAAGCCCUUCGGGGUGUAAAGUUCUGUCAGUGGGGAAGAAUAAUGACUGUACCCACAAAGGAAGCACCGGCUAACUCCGUUCCAGCAGCCGCGGUAAUACGGGGGUGCAAGCGUUGUCCGGAAUCAUUGGGCGUAAAGCGUUCGUAGGGGGUAAAGUAAGUCAGAUGUUAAAGCCCGGGGCUCAACUCCGGUUCGGCAUUUGAUACUACUUAACUAGAAUGUGGUAGAGGUAAAGGGAAUUCCUGGUGUAGCGGUGAAAUGCGUAGAUAUCAGGAGGAACAUCGGUGGCGAAAGCGCUUUACUGGGCCAUUAUUGACGCUGAAGAACGAAAGCCAGGGGAGCAAAU
rnacentral:rRNA from 1 species